GAGAAACUCUAUCGUCUCUCCCUCUGUCGAACUACACCGCUUCUCCCUCGUCUCUCCCUCCGCCGAUCUGCGCCGAAUCAACAACACAGAAGAUGGUCGAGCGGCUGCGGGCUAGAGGGCUUGCACCGGGGCGGCCCCAUACCGCAGGAUUUGGAGCGGCGGCGGCGGCGGCUCCCGAAACAAGACGCCGCGGCGAUGCACCUCACGCUGCACCUCACGCGACGGCGGCAGGAACCUAGCUCGCCUCAAGCGGCAGCGAAAGGGGAAGCACCCGGUCAUGGAUGGUUCUUGCCAACGGCGGCGUCCAAUUUGGCAGGCAGUUCGACCUGUUCCAAAUUGUUUGUGCUGCUAUGCUGGGCGAUGCCAUACUAUCCUGGCGCCCCAAACUUUAGAUCCAUAUACGUUCAGUUUAUGCAUAGUGUUCAUGUGGUGAAGCAUGAACUAGAGGGGAAGAAUAUAUUUUGUCAUGCUUCACAUUGUAAAUUGUUUGUGUUGCAAAAUUUACCAAUUACAUCUCUUCAGUUCAUGCGUGUGACACUGUCAAAUUUAGAGGGGAAGAAUUUAUUUGUCAUUCAGUUCAUGCUUAUGACACAGUCAAAUCCGGUUGUCAUUCAGUUUAUGCAUAGUGUCAUAGUUUAUGUGCCGAUGCAUUGACAAAUUUACCGAUUCCAUCUCUUCAACCAAACGCACUAACAAAACCAUUCCGUUCCAGCUUUUGACACCAACCAAACACAUGACAGGAAUCGACCCAUUCCAUUGGAAUGGAACGGAACGGAACCAUUCCAUUCCAUUCCAUUUGGUUCCUCAACCAAACACACCGUUAAUAUAGCGGGUGCUAGAGCUGCACUUAACCUUGGUAGCACAAUGCUUGGGUUCUACCCUCUUAGAGUCUUGCCUUCAAAGACAACUAUCUUACCUGUGAAUCCAGAAAUUCUUCCGGUGGUAGGUUGUUUGAUGUUUCACCUUCUGCCAGCUCUAUUCUACUUUAUCCACAAUACUAACAACAAUAUCCUAUUCUUCCUGGCCCGUAGAUGGAGGAUUAGAAAGAAAUGGUCCUAUAAACGGUUUAUUGUAAGAUAUGGAUAAGAAGGUUACUCAAUUAGAUGUAAAUAGUUUCUUUGAAGAACUUUGUGGUGAGGUGAGUUAUGGCGCAUAUCCAAUCAUCGUGUCGCAUAGCUUCUAAGCUAUGUUGAUUGCCCUGGUGAGUGACAGUGAUAUCUUUGGGGAAGCUUCAGAAAGUACAUCAACUUCUGCAACAUCUGUAGCUACUGCAGAUCUUACGAGUAUUGAUCAGCUUCUCAAAACAUUAAUGAGCCAGGAUGAAGUUCGAGAAGUUGCAUUACACCAUGUAAAUAUUAAGGUUCCACUUUAAUGAGCUGUGGAAGACAAGUGCACCGGUAAGUGUUCGAAAUUUUAAGUGUGUCGGUGGAAGUGGAAGGGGGAUUGUGAGUUGGAUCUGUCAUUAACAGAGGUGGUGAACUUGGAUUGGUCAUGUAGACAUAGCUCAUGGAGAAAUAAGAAGAUGAUGAAGAGCGAUUUAUGGGUAAAAAAAUAUAGUGAAUAGAUUUGCAUGUGAAGUCAAGUGUAUAUGCCCAGACUCGAGCAGGUUCGCUAUUAUUGUUGUUCUUGUGUGUCAAGGCUUUUGGCUGCAGACUUGCAGGUAUACAUACGAGUCCAUGCUUAAUUUUUGUUAUGUUUCUUACUUACCACUGUUAUUUCUAGCAGAAGGGGCAGCUGGGGCAUGGGGACGCUCUUGCGUAACCUCUAGCUGUUGUUUCUAAACUAUGAAAGUAAGAGAAUCGUAUGCACUGCCCUUCAUUUUAAUUGUGUAAACAUGUGUGUAUCGUAUUGCUAAAUCCAUGAACAUAUAGCAUCCAACAUACUUGAACUUAAUAGUCCAACAACAUUACAUGUUUUCUCGACAUGUUUCCAAAUGCUAAUUAGAAGUUGUCAGUUCUGCAGAUACAACAUAAUUCCAGCAGCUGUUGGAAGAAAUCACACGGUGGUUGUAACUAGCGAAGGGGAAAUGCUUUUCAUUUGGUGACAACAUGCAUGGGCGGGAGGGGUUCACCAAGGAGUGGUCGACUCCCUCGUCUGUUGCUUUUUUUCUUUAUGGUUGAUAGAUGACACAACUACAGAAGUGCAGUAAAUACGACUUAUAUUGUCACCUGUUCUUACAACCUACCUGUUUGGGUGAUAAUGAAACCAAGAAAAAUAUGGCGGCCAUUAGUCAGGGUUUCACAAGUCAUGUAUAGAUCUUUUAGUUUUGUGGCCUACACGCUUAUGUAUAAUAUUUAUCUGUUGAUAAUCAUCUUUGUCAUAUAUUGUGAAGGACAUGAAAAAUGAUGUGUUUCAACAACCAUGAAGAGCAUUAGUUUGGUGUUUUAAAAAUCUUGUUAGUCACAAUCUUAUGACUGUUUUAGACGGAAAAAAAUCAAUUGACAAAUCUAAUGACUUCGUUUAUGCUAUACAGGUGAGUGAUAAGCUUGAUCAUCGGAGCUUGUGAAACCGUGUGAGAUUUUGAAUCCCCACAACAAGCCCGAGAGGCUGGCACUAAUCAUGAGGAUGGGGGCUGAGAAGAUGCAUGACAAGCUCCCCCAUAUGAUCAGAGUCGUGCGUUAAGCAGUGCUGAUUGUCACCUAGGCUGAGGCUUUGUUUGAUGUCCAUGAGUGAGAGGGAGCUACCCUGGAAGGGUUCACCUAGAAAUGACAUGGCAGAACAUUACAGAGUGCAUUGGUGAAUCCAACACAAUGACCUGAAAUCAUCUCAUUUCCCGCUACCACACACACUGCGACCCCAGGCUGAAUGCGUCACAGUCGCUCGAGCUGACCUUCACCAUUUCCGAUAGGCUAAGGAAGAAGGACAUGGAAUAACCUCAUAUCUAGGGUACAAGCUUAAGAUAUCUAUCUUAUGUUUCUUCCCUGCAAAACCCUCUUCUGCUGCUAGAGGACAUAAUUUUACAUUCUUUAGUUUUUUUAGUAGUAUAGGUGGCGUUUGAUUUUGGAAAUACCAAGGAAAAAUCCCCCUCAAAUAAUAGGAUAUAGUUGUUUUGUUGCAUUACCAUUUGUGCUUAGUUCAAUUUCUUUUGUGUUCAUCCUUUCUUUGAUGCAGAUAGUGUGAGGGAGAUUACAGGAGACAUGACAAUAGAUUACUCAUUCUCUAUCCGCUGAGAUUGUACAUAAUGUUUAUUGAUUAAAUUUGGAAAUGUAAUCUGAGAAGUAAGGGCAUCUAUAGCGCUUCCCUAAAUUUUAAGUCC
rnacentral:rRNA from 1 species